AUUGAACGCUGGCGGCAUGCCUAACACAUGCAAGUCGAACGAGUGGCGGACGGGUGAGUAAUGUCUGGGAAACUGCCCGAUGGAGGGGGAUAACUACUGGAAACGGUAGCUAAUACCGCAUACCAUCGGAUGUGCCCAGGUGGGAUUAGCUCGUAGGUGGGGUAAAGGCUCACCUAGGCGACGAUCCCUAGCUGGUCUGAGAGGAGGACCAGCCACACGGGAACUGAGACACGGGCCCGACGCCUACGGGAGGCAGAAGUGGGGAAUAUUGCACAAUGGGCGCAAGCCUGAUGCAGCCAUGCCGCGUGGAUGAAGAAGGCCUGCGGGUUGUAAAGUACUUUCAGCGGGGAGGCGUUACCCGCAGAAGAAGCACCGGCUAACUCCGUGCCAGCAGCCGCGGUAAUUC
rnacentral:rRNA from 1 species